GAUGAACGCUGGCGGCGUGCUUAACACAUGCAAGUCGAACGGGAAACCUUUUAAUGAAGCUUCGGCAGAUUUAGCUGGUUUCUAGUGGCGGACGGGUGAGUAACGCGUGGGUAACCUGCCUUAUACAGGGGGAUAACAGUCAGAAAUGACUGCUAAUACCGCAUAAGCGCACAGGACCGCAUGGUCCGGUGUGAAAAACUCCGGUGGUAUAAGAUGGACCCGCGUUGGAUUAGCUUGUUGGUGGGGUAACGGCUCACCAAGGCGACGAUCCAUAGCCGGCCUGAGAGGGUGAACGGCCACAUUGGGACUGAGACAAGGCCCAGACUCCUACGGGAGGCAGCAGUGGGGAAUAUUGCACAAUGGGGGAAACCCUGAUGCAGCGACGCCGCGUGAAGGAAGAAGUAUCUCGGUAUGUAAACUUCUAUCAGCAGGGAAGAUAGUGACGGUACCUGACGAAGAAGCCCCGGCUAACUACGU
rnacentral:rRNA from 1 species